GACGAACGCUGGCGGCGUGCCUAAUACAUGCAAGUAGAACGCACAGUUUAUACCGUAGCUUGCUACACCAUAAACUGUGAGUUGCGAACGGGUGAGUAACGCGUAGGUAACCUGCCUGGUAGCGGGGGAUAACUAUUGGAAACGAUAGCUAAUACCGCAUAAUAUUGAUUAUUGCAUGAUAAUUGAUUGAAAGAUGCUAUUGCAUCACUACCAGAUGGACCUGCGUUGUAUUAGCCGGUAGGUGAGGUAACGGCUCACCUAGGCGACGAUACAUAGCCGACCUGAGAGGGUGAUCGGCCACACUGGGACUGAGACACGGCCCAGACUCCUACGGGAGGCAGCAGUAGGGAAUCUUCGGCAAUGGACGAAAGUCUGACCGAGCAACGCCGCGUGAGUGAAGAAGGUUUUCGGAUCGUAAAGCUCUGUUGUAAGAGAAGAACGGGUGUGAGAGGGAAAGUUCACACUGGACG
rnacentral:rRNA from 1 species